rnacentral:rRNA from 1 species
GAUGAACGCUAGCUACAGGCUUAACACAUGCAAGUCGAGGGGUCUUUUGGAGCUUGCUUUAAAAGACGACCGGCGCACGGGUGAGUAACGCGUAUCCAACCUGCCCUUCAUAUUGGGAUAGCCUUCCGAAAGGAAGAUUAAUGCCGAAUAACAUGAUAGAGUUGCCUGAUUUUAUCAUGAAAGCUCCGGCGAUGAAGGAUGGGGAUGCGUUCCAUUAGGUAGUAGGCGGGGUAACGGCACACCUAGCCGACGAUGGAUAGGGGUUCUGAGAGGAAGGUCCCCCACACUGGAACUGAGACACGGUCCAGACUCCUACGGGAGGCAGCAGUGAGGAAUAUUGGUCAAUGGGCGCAAGCCUGAACCAGCCAAGUAGCGUGAAGGAUGACUGCCCUAUGGGUUGUAAACUUCUUUUAUACGGGAACAAACCCCGGUACGUGUACCGGAUUGCGUGUACCGUAUGAAUAAGCAUCGGCUAACUCCGUGCCAGCAGCCGCUGUAAAAC